GACGCAGCGCAAGUUUGUCGAUUCAUGUUGCCACGCCCACAAGCCGCCCAAAGCUGCCACGCCCAUUUUUCAUUUUUGUAUUAGUCUUGUAUAUUUUGUUUAUAUAGCGUUUUCUCUUGUUGCUAUUAUAUUAACACAACCACUCUAUAAUUUCAUUUCUUUUAUAUAAAUUGUUUUCACUUCCGUACAAGUUACAAAAAGUGUGAACUUAUAAAAUAGUGUACAAUUUUAUUUUACCAGCAACUAAAGUUAAAUCUUCCAUAAUUUUAAGUUACACUAGUCGGCAUAAGUAUUUUAACAAAAUAUACAUUGCAAAUUUAGUCAGUGAAGCUUUACUAAUUUUUAUUUUUUGUGGAAACAUGGUUAUUAUUCGGACUUUUUGGCAUGGAGCAGUAUCUGGCUGCAGGAUAAAGAAUAUCCCAAUUAGCCCUACACUCAUAGACAAAACUUUCUGCAUUUCACAAAAUCGCCGUAAAAAAAAUACAGCCCCAAAAUACAGCCCGCACAGACCAAGUGCGAAGACCGUCGUUCCGGUGAUGAGGGAACUUGCCAGCACUGCCACCAGACUCAGAUGGAACAGUUGGCUCAAAUGGGCUACAAAAACCGUAAUCGUAACAAACGCGCUCUGCUGAUAUCUCUGGGCAACGUUGCUUCCGCUGUAAGACUACUGGACCACUGGAAUCGGUUUUUGGAGGAAUGAACCCCAUUUGUACUACUUUUGUUUUGUUGUUUGGCCGAACGCCUGAGACGCCAACUUAUAUGCACAAUAAAAUUAUAUAUAUACAGCUGCGAAAAAUAAAAUAGCACCACCUGCCCAGUAAAAUUUUGAAUAGGUAUCCUACCUGCAAUUUAGGGUUUAAAAGGAGCAGAAAUACCUUUUUAGAAAGGUUAAACAAUUCACUUAUUAGGAAAUGAAAAGAACUACAAUUUUUCUAUUUAUCUUAACAAAUAAUCUAUCUUAUCUAUAUAAGGAACUUCAUUAGAAACGACUAAAUUAGGCGAAAAAUAAAAUAUAACCAAUAUAACCAAUGUUUGCGUAUUAAAA